AUUGAACGCUGGCGGCAGGCCUAACACAUGCAAGUCGAACGAGUGACGUACGAGUGAGUAAUGUCUGGGAACCUGCCCGAUGGAUGGGGAUAACUACUGGAAACGGUAGCUAAUACCUCAUACCAUCGGAUGUGCCCAGAUGGGAUUCGCUAGUAGGUGGGGUAACAGCGCACCUAGGCGACAAUCCCUAGCUGGUCUUAGAGGAUGACCAGCCACACUGGUACUUAGACACGGUCCAGACUCAUACGGGAUGAAGCAGUGGGGAACAUGGCACAAUGGGCGCAAGCCUGAUGCAGCCAUGCCGCGUGUAUGAAGAAGGCCUUCGGGUUGUAAAGUACUUUCAGCGAGGAGGCGUUACUCGCAGAAGAAGCACCGGCUAACUCCGUGCCAGCAGCCGCGGUAAUUC
rnacentral:rRNA from 1 species